rnacentral:rRNA from 1 species
CCUACGGGUGGCAGCAGUGAGGAAUAUUGGUCAAUGGCCGUAAGUCUGAACCAGCCAAGUAGCGUGAGGGAAGACUGCCCUAUGGGUUGUAAACCUCUUUUAUGCGGGGAUAAAGUUGUCCACGUGUGGAUGUUUGCAUGUACCGCAUGAAUAAGGACCGGCUAAUUCCGUGCCAGCAGCCGCGGUAAUACGGAAGGUCCGGGCGUUAUCCGGAUUUAUUGGGUUUAAAGGGAGCGUAGGCCGGUCUUUAAGCGUGCCGUGAAAUUUUGUGGCUCAACCAUGAGAGUGCGGCGGGAACUGGAGGCCUUGAGUGCGCGGAAGGCAGGCGGAAUUCGUGGUGUAGCGGUGAAAUGCUUAGAUAUCACGAAGAACCCCGAUUGCGAAGGCAGCCUGCCGCAGCGUAACUGACGCUGAGGCUCGAAAGCGCGGGUAUCGAACAGGAUUAGAUACCCGGGUAGUC